UCGUUGUACCGAGAGAUCUCAUGUAAAGCUGGGAGUUCGAGCAGAGCUGGAAGUCCAUGCUCUGCCAAGAAGUCUCGAGCAGGGCUGUGCGUGUUCUCCUUAGUUCCAAGCUGAGCUGGAAAUAUCUUGUGCUAGGCAUCAACCCCGGACAGGGCUGGAUAUCCGGGAGUAAAUAAGACAAUGGCGAUGAAAGUUGAUUCCCAGCGUGGCUGAGUAGGACCGGGUAUGUGAGUAUGAAAAGCAAGCAAUGGCGCAGUGCUGCCACGGGUCGAUGCUUUUUCCCAUUCAUAGUGGUGGCACCGUUGGCUCUAUCAUUUAACGUUGUCUCUGCAAUCUCGAGUCUCAAUUUUGAGAAAUGAAAUAUGAUCACGUACCUAACUCUGGGCUGUCAUGCGCCCCUCUCCUUUCUGAAUUCUUUCGACUAAAUGCAUGUAUUAGUCUUAUUGUAGCGUGAAGUCCCACACAGAGUUGUCUCUCGUCGGCUUAGAAUUCCCCCAAGUAAUAUGUAGGCCACUGUGAUAUUCGCUGCAAAACUUGAUCAUGCACAAAUUGAAACCCUGACCCCUGCUCGAACCCGUUUAUCUCCUAUGUACAAGGCCGUCGUGUGUCACCCUGACCCCAAAACUUCCCCGAAUAAUACAAAGUUGUCAUGUCAUCUCAAGUCGCGAAUUUUAAUGAAUAAAAUGCCAAGCUAGAGAUCCCUGCGAAGUUCCAGCACAUUGCUGUAAAUCCCAUUACGUUGAGAAGUCCAGCACAGGGAUGGAAACUCCGG
rnacentral:lncRNA from 1 species